rnacentral:rRNA from 1 species
UAAUACGUAGGGGGCAAGCGUUGUCCGGAUUUAUUGGGCGUAAAGCGCGUGUAGGCGGCCAGGCAGGUCCGUUGUGAAAACUGGAGGCUCAACCUCCAGACGUCGAUGGAAACCGCUUGGCUAGAGUCCGGAAGAGGAGAGUGGAAUUCCUGGUGUAGCGGUGAAAUGCGCAGAUAUCAGGAAGAACACCGAUGGCGAAGGCAGCUCUCUGGGACGGUACUGACGCUGAGACGCGAAAGCGUGGGGAGCAAACAGGAUUAGAUACCCUGGUAGUCCACGCCGUAAACGAUGGGUGCUAGGUGUGGGAGGUGUCGACUCCUCCCGUGCCGCAGCUAACGCAUUAAGCACCCCGCCUGGGGAGUACGGCCGCAAGGCUA